rnacentral:rRNA from 1 species
GAUGAACGCUGGCGGCGUGCCUAAUACAUGCAAGUCGAGCGAAAAGCUGAGGUGCUUGCUCCUCUGACGUUAGCGGCGGACGGGUGAGUAAAACGUGGAUAACCUACCUAUAAGACUGGGAUAACUUAGGGAAACCGGAGCUAAUACCAGGUAAUAUGUUCAACCGCCUGGUUCAAUAGUGAAAGAUGGUUUUGCUGUCACUUAUUGCUUGAUCCGCGCUGCAUUAGCUAGUGGGUAAGGUAACGGCUUACCAAGGCAACGGUGACUAGCCAACCUGAGAGGGUGAGCGGGCAGACCGGAGCUGGUGGACGGUCCAGAGGGCUACGGGAGACAGCAGUAACUAAUCUGCCGCGAAGGACGAAGGCUUGACGGAGCAACGCCGCAUGAGUGAUGAAGGUCUUCGGAGCGUAAAACGCUGUUAUUAGGGAAGAACAAAGGUUUAAGUAACUAAGCACAUAAUGACGGUACCUAAACAGAAAGCCACGGCUAACUACGUG